UUUGCCUUCGUCACGCCUCUCCCCGUCAUUUCUCUCCACUCUCGCUCAGUCAUCUAUUGCUUUCUCUCUUGUGCUCUCUAUGUCUCUCUCUCUCCCCCUUUCUCUCACAGUCGCCCCUCUCUCGCGCGCGCUCUCUCUCUCAGUUGUCCCUCUCUCGCUCUCUCUCUUGCUCUGUUAAGGGAGUGAUGUCUCUGUCAAAAUAGUCGAUGCUUCUUCAGGCCUUCUUCUCGGAUUGGAAUUAUAGGUUUUAUUUCUAGAAAAGAACCAGACCCUAAGGGAUGCUGCUGUUUUAGGAUACUGUGUCUCACCACUUUUCUCAUACUAUUCAUACCAUGGACCUGUCUUCGGGGUCAUGCUCCAAGUAAAUCGUGGAAAGCUUCCUAAAAAUAGGUAUUAUGGUUUCAUCAGCUACUGCACUCAGUGCGGGAAUUCUCAGGCUUUUUAUGUACAAAUUGAACUUGGAAAUACCCGGUGCUAUGGGUGCAAUGAUAAUCUCUACUUGGUCCAUGGUCAUAGGAGGAUUGUUCUAUGUUUUUGGGGGUUGGUGCCCUCAGACAUGGAGGGGAUUCUCCAAAAGUGCACUCUCUGAACUUUGGCCUGUGGUGAAGCUCUCUCUUUCAUCUGGUGUGAUGCUCUGGCUCCUUCUAUGGUAGGCUCUUCCCAAGCCAGAGGUCUUCACUUCGUUCAUUCUUCAUAUAGCUUGCAUUGGCCGUCUCAGGUUCCUCAAGGGCUAGAAAAUAAUAAGGGGAACAUUUACAUGGCGAAAACAAGCCCUUCGAGCAUUUUCAAAGCAUACUUUGAGCAAUUUGAAAGAGACUUUUCGACAUUCCUUGUGUCACGCUCAGAGGAGUUGGUUCCAGGAGGGCGUAUGAUCUUAACACUUCUGGGUAGGAAGAGUGAAGAUCCCUAUAGUAAAGAGUAUUGUUAUAUAUGGGAGCUGCUGGCAUAGGUGCUCAAUAGCUUGGUCUCGGAGGGAAAAAUCAUGGUUCGGCUUUAGGAAGCUAAGGCUUUCUGAUGAUGAUAGCAGCUUUUGGCUUUGCAUGAGCCAUGAAAUUAUCAAGUUGUAGAAACCCAAGGAUAUUUUUUUAAAUAUUCAAGUCUGACUAUGUAUUUGUGAUUCAAAUAUUUUGAAUGGAGAAUU